GCGAGAAUUAUGUGAGAAUCAUAAUGGCCGAAUGCCUAAGGUUUUUGGAGGAAGGUUCGUCCGCUCCAAGUUAGCCGGGAGCUAAGGUGAGGCCGAAAGGCGUAGCCGAUGCACAUACGGUAGAAAUUCCGUAGCCGCCAAAAGAUUUAAGCAAAGGGACACAUUGAAAGGGCAUGACCCGGGCGUUGGUAGCCCCGGGCGUAAGGGACCGAAAUUUAGUAGGGAAGCAUGCUUGGACGGUGGCGAGAAAAGCUUUGUGUAUAUCUUAGGCGCCCGUACCGCAAACCGACACAGGUAGGUAGGAAGAGAAUUCUAAGGCCAACGGGAGAAGGGUUGUUAAGGAACUCGGCAAGUUGACCCCGUAACUUCGGAAUAAGGGGUGCUCACGAGAGUGAGCCGCAGAGAAUAGGUCCAGGCGACUGUUUAGCAAAAACACAGGUCUAUGCUAAAUCGAAAGAUGAUGUAUAUGGGCUGACGCCUGCCCGGUGCUGGAAGGUUAAGAGGAGAUGUGAGAGCAUUGAAUCGAAGCCCCAGUAAACGGCGGCCGUAACUAUAACGGUCCUAAGGUAGCGAAAUUCCUUGUCAGGUAAGUUCUGACCCGCACGAAUGGCGUAACGAUCUGGACACUGUCUCAACAGCCCUCCCGGCGAAAUUGUAGUACCGGUGAAGAUGCCGGUUACCCGCGGCUAGACGGAAAGACCCCAUGGAGCUUUACUGUAGCCUAAUAUUGGAUUUCGGUAUUUCAUGUACAGCAUAGGUGGGAGGCUUGGAAGCCAGGACGCCAGUUCUGGUGGAGCCACCGUUGGGAUACCACUCUUGAAGUACUGAAAUUCUAACCUGCAGCCAUGAAUCUGGCUGGGGGACAUUGUUAGGUGGGCAGUUUGACUGGGGCGGUCGCCUCCAAAAAGGUAACGGAGGCGCUCAAAGGUUGGCUCAGCAUGGACGGAAACCAUGCCCUAGAGUGUAAACGCAUAAGCCAGCCUAACUGCGAGAGCGACGGUUCGAGCAGUAACGAAAGUUGGAGUUAGUGAUCCGGUGGUGUGUGAGUGGAAAUGCCAUCGCUCAACGGAUAAAAGCUACCCUGGGGAUAACAGGCUGAUCUCCCCCAAGAGUCCACAUCGUCGGGGAGGUUUGGCACCUCGAUGUCGGCUCAUCGCAUCCUGGGGCUGUAUUCGGUCCCAAGGGUUUGGCUGUUCGCCAAUUAAAGCGGUACGCGAGCUGGGUUCAGAACGUCGUGAGACAGUUCGGUCCCUAUCUGCCGUGGGCGCAGGAUAUUUGAAUGGAGCUGUCCCUAGUACGAGAGGACCGGGAUGGACGCACCUCUGGUGCACCAGUUGUCACGCCAGUGGCGCAGCUGGGCAGCUAUGUGCGGACCGGAUAAACGCUGAAAGCAUCUAAGCGUGAAGCCGACCAUAAGAUAAGAUAUCCCACUGUUUUAACAGGUAAGACCCCUUGAAGACUACAAGGUUGAUAGGCUGGAUGUGUAAGCGCAGUGAUGCGUUUAGCUAGCCUGUACUAAUCGGUCGAGGGCUUGAUC
rnacentral:rRNA from 1 species